rnacentral:tRNA from 1 species
GCCUGGCUGGCUCAGUCAGAGGAGCGUGUGACUCUUGUUCUCAGGGUCAUGAGUUCGAACCCCAUGUUGGGUG